rnacentral:rRNA from 1 species
CUACGGGAGGCUCCAGUGGGGAAUAUUGCACAAUGGGCGCAAGCCUGAUGCAGCCAUGCCGCGUGUAUGAAGAAGGCCUUCGGGUUGUAAAGUACUUUCAGCGGGGAGGAAGGGAGUAAAGUUAAUACCUUUGCUCAUUGACGUUACCCGCAGAAGAAGCACCGGCGAACUCCGUGCCAGCAGCCGCGGUAAUACGGAGGGUGCAAGCGUUAAUCGGAAUUACUGGGCGUAAAGCGCACGCAGGCGGUUUGUUAAGUCAGAUGUGAAAUCCCGGGCUCAACCUGGGAACUGCAUCUGAUACUGGCAAGCUUGAGUCUCGUAGAGGGGGGUAGAAUUCCAGGUGUAGCGGUGAAAUGCGUAGAGAUCUGGAGGAAUACCGGUGGCGAAGGCGGCCCCCUGGACGAAGACUGACGCUCAGGUGCGAAAGCGUGGGGAGCAAACAGGAUUAGAUACCCUUGUAGUC